CGCAGCGCCGCAGAAAGGAGAGAGAAGCCGCCAAGCGCAAACGCAUGAUUGCCGACGUGUGCGAUCACAUCAAGUAUAAGCGGAGCGCGCCACGGAAUUCUUCCGAAUACAAUCAGGAUCAACUGGACACUGCCUUCAGUGACCACAGCUACACAGCGGAGCUAAGGUCGCAGGGUCGUAUGAUUGCCUGAUGUUGCAUCUACCACCCAAGAAGCCCUAUAGGAAUCGCUAUCAGCACGCAGCCUAAUCACCGGCAUAAAGGGACACUGCGUUUUCAAGAAUGAUGCUUGGUGUCAAUCAUCUCGUAAACGGAUGUACGUGGCGAGGAGACGGGGAAUCAACGCGUCAAAAGGUUUUCAUGAACGAUUGAGUGAUUAUCGGCCCCAGCCACUUUCCAAGGAACAGCAGACGGUGGGGGUGAGCAAUCGCCCCCAAUCAACACCAGUACGCAGCAGUGUGGGGCGAGCAAUCAUCGCCUGAUCAACACCAGUACGCAGCAGUGUGGGGCGA